AGGAUCAUUAACGARUUUUGAAGUGGGUUUGABGCBGGCCUUCCCAGGCAUGUGCUCGCCCUACUCUCAUCCACUCACACCUGUGCNCCUAUAAAAUGUUGAAAGAUUCAUCCCCUAGACUUCGUCAGGGGUGCGGUUAGGGGAGACCUUGACCGUUGGGUUGAAUCUUUUGCGUUUUACCUUUCUAUAAACUCUUGUAUGUUGUAGAAUGUCUUAUGGCCUACGGGCUUGUAUAAANUGAAAUACAACUUUCAACAACGGAUCUCUUGGCUCUCGCAUCGAUGAAGAACGCAGCGAAAUGCGAUAAGUAAUGBGAAUUGCAGAAUUCAGKGAAUCAUCGAAUCUUUGAACGCACCUUGCGCUCUUGGGCCAUUCCUAAGAGCAUGCCUGUUUGAGUGUCGUGAACUCCUCAACCCUGGGUGGAUUUUGAAUCCGACCAGUGGCUUGGAUUUGGGGGCUUGCUGGCCGUUUUGAUUCGGUCUGCUCCCCUUGAAUGUAUUAGCUUGGACUUGUUWCAGAGGCUGCAUAGCGUGAUAACUAUCUACGCUUUGGUUGUCUYUGAAACACUUCUGGUCUGGCUYMCAAUCGUCCUCUGGACAUACUUCACUCUUUGAC
rnacentral:rRNA from 1 species